rnacentral:rRNA from 1 species
GACGAACGCUGGCGGCGUGCUUAACACAUGCAAGUCGAACGGGCCCGCUCUCUUUUUUGGGGGUGGGUUGAGUGGCGAACGGGUGAGUAUCACGUGAGUAACCUGCCCCCUGCUCCUGGAUAACUGCUUGAAAGGGCGGCUAAUACGGGGUGUGCCGGCUGGUCCGCAUGGGCCUGGUCGGGAUAGUUUCAUCUUCGGGUGUUUCGGUGGGGGAUGGGCUCGCGGCCUAUCAGCUUGUUGGUGGGGUGAUGGCCCACCAAGGCGGUGACGGGUAGCCGGCCUGAGAGGGUGGGCGGCCACACUGGGACUGAGACACGGCCCAGAAUCCUGCGGGAGGCAGCAGUGGGGGGUAUUGCGCAAUGGGCGGAAGCCUGAUGCAGCGACGUCGCGUGAGGGAUGGAGGCCUUCGGGUUGUGAACCUCUUUCUCCGGUGGUGAAGGCCCUGUCCGUUGCGGCGGGGUUGACGGUAGCCGGGUAUGAAGCGCCGGCUAACUACGUG